AUACUUACCUGGCAGGGGCAAUUCCAUGAUCACGAAUGUGCUUCCCCAGGCCGAGGCUCACCCAUUUCACUCUGGGUGUGCUUGACCCCUGCGAUUUCCCCAAAUGUGCGAAACUCAACUGCAUAAUUCAUGGUAGUGGGGAACUGCGUUCGUGCUCUCCCCUG